ensembl:snRNA U7 U7 small nuclear RNA
AAAAGUUGCAGCUCUUUUAGAAAUUGUCUAGCAGGCUUUCUGGCUAUUAUCAGAACUCCUCC